rnacentral:lncRNA from 1 species
UUUACUUGAGUUUUGUCUUUGGUUAAAUGCUUCAUGGAGGCAGAACGUCCAGUUUUGCGCUUUUGGCUGAGGAAGGCUGGAGGAUGAGAACUUCGGGGAGUUCUCGGCCAUCCCUCCCCUCCCCUUGCCCGAGUGAGCUCCUCCACGUCUCCUCUUUCUCUGAGUGUUCAAUUACGUUCGCCACCGCGAUUAAUGAUGAGUCCCAUCUGCCUUGAAGCAGGCACCGUCCUAACCACUUAGGGAGUGAACUCAGCUGAUCCUCACAACAGUCCCAUGAGGUGAGUGCCAUUAUGAUCCCCAUUAUACGGAUGAGGAAAUAAGAACAGAGAGGUCAAGUGGCUUGCCCAAGGUCACACAGCAGGAAAGAGAGGGAGCUGGAUUCAAAGUCAAGCAGGCUGAAUUCAGAGCUUGGCCCUCAAGCUCUGGCCCUACUGCCUUCCAGGGCAAAAGAGAAAGUACACUCAGCUGUGGGGGGAGCAAAGAGGACAGGCAGAGGGGCAGGACUGGGCGCUUCUCCCGACAGGGCAAUGGCCCAUGCUGGGCUCUGCGCGGGAUUUAGAAUCAGGUGUUGGAGUAACUCGAAGGUACAUUAGAAAUGUUCCAAACAUUGUGAAUGGUGCUGCUGUGAAGGUCCUUGUGCGUGUCUCCCGGGAACACACGAAGCAGGUCUACUGAGUAUACCCGGGAGGGGAACAGCAGGGCCGAGCCCACGCGCAGACUCAGCUGUCGAGGCUGUGGAGAAGCCUCCCUGAGGAGACGGCCGGGGUCAGGGAGGUGAGGGAGCAGCCCUGCGAUGUCUACGGAGGUUCGGCUCAGAAAGGAGCAGCCGUGCCAGGCCCGGGGAGUGGGAGCCUGUCUUCAGGCCCAGGAACAGCCAGGCCGCCAGCACAGGGGAGGAAGUGAAGGCAGAGGGUGUGGGUGGAGGAGGCGCCAGGACCACCCCAGGCUGCAGGCCUGAGAUGAGCUGGGAAGGAAACUGUGAGGGCGCGCUCAGCCCUGCGGCUCUGGACCCGAUGGAUUAAGACGGCUAGUGGACAUUUAAGUGCGGCUCUUGAGGACACCGGAAAUGAGUCUGGAGUUCAGGGAAGGGGCUGGGCUGGGAUCUCAAGUGUAGAUCCCCAAGAUAACAGUGCUAAUGGGAAUAAUGCCUUGGAGACGGAAAGAGGAGGAUGGAGAGAGGGGAGGGCUGGGAUGGUCCAUUAGGGAGGGAAAGAG